rnacentral:rRNA from 1 species
AUUGAACGCUGGCGGCAGGCCUAACACAUGCAAGUCGAACGGUAACAGGAAACAGCUUGCUGUUUCGCUGACGAGUGGCGGACGGGUGAGUAAUGUCUGGGAAACUGCCUGAUGGAGGGGGAUAACUACUGGAAACGGUAGCUAAUACCGCAUAACGUCGCAAGACCAAAGAGGGGGACCUUCGGGCCUCUUGCCAUCGGAUGUGCCCAGAUGGGAUUAGCUAGUAGGUGGGGUAACGGCUCACCUAGGCGACGAUCCCUAGCUGGUCUGAGAGGAUGACCAGCCACACGGGAACUGAGAACCGGUCGAGACUCCUACGGGAGGCAGCAGUGGGGAAUAUUGCACAAUGGGCGCAAGCCUGAUGCAGCCAUGCCGCGUGUAUGAAGAAGGCCUUCGGGUUGUAAAGUACUUUCAGCGGGGAGGAAGGGAGUAAAGUUAAUACCUUUGCUCAUUGACGUUACCCGCAGAAGAAGCACCGGCUAACUCCGUGCCAGCCGCCGCGGUAA